GAUGAACGCUAGCGAUAGGCUUAACACAUGCAAGUCGAGGGGCAGCACAAGGUAGCUUGCUCUCUGGGUGGCGACCGGCGCACGGGUGCGUAACGCGUAUGCAACUUGCCCUAUACAGGAGGAUAACCCGUCGAAAGACGGACUAAUACUGCGUAUGCUCACAACUUGGCAUCAAGUGGUGAGGAAAGAAAUUCGGUAUAGGAUAGGCAUGCGUCCCAUUAGCUUGUUGGUGAGGUAACGGCUCACCAAGGCAACGAUGGGUAGGGGAACUGAGAGGUUUAUCCCCCACACUGGUACUGAGACACGGACCAGACGCCUACGGGAGGCAGCAGUGAGGAAUAUUGGUCAAUGGGCGCGAGCCUGAACCAGCCAAGUCGCGUGAAGGAUGACUGUCUUAUGGAUUGUAAACUUCUUUUAGACGGGAAUAACAAGAGUCACGGGUGACUCCCUGCAUGUACCGAAUGAAUAAGCAUCGGCUAACUCCGUG
rnacentral:rRNA from 1 species